UACGAAGGGGGCUAGCGUUGUUGGAAUCACUGGGCGUAAAGGGCGCGUAGGCGGCUUUGUAAGUCGGGGGUGAAAGCCUGUGGCUCAACCACAGAAUUGCCUUCGAUACUGCAUGGCUUGAGACCGGAAGAGGUAAGUGGAACUGCGAGUGUAGAGGUGAAAUUCGUAGAUAUUCGCAAGAACACCAGUGGCGAAGGCGGCUUACUGGUCCGGUUCUGACGCUGAGGCGCGAAAGCGUGGGGAGCAAACAGG
rnacentral:rRNA from 1 species